rnacentral:lncRNA from 10 species
GCAUGUCUGCCGGGUACUGGUGCAACGCCCCCUACCCGCGCCCUCCGGGCUCAGAUUCCCGGGUUCCGGACUCCAGAGACCUGUCCGCCUGGCGUCCCCUGACCGCCGAGUUUCCGCGGGCGCCACCGGGGCCCUCCGGCGGACCCUCAAGGGCCCGCAGGCCGCCCCCGCGCUCAGCUGAGACACGGCAGUGCGCGAAGCCUGGGCACUCACCCAGCGGGAGAGGGCAGGAGGCGGCGCAGCGGGCGGUAGCGGCAGCCUGGCCUCGCACUCUGCGCUCACGGCUGUUUUCCUCGUUCCCACUUUUCCUGGUGUACCACGAUGGGCGCCAAUGCAGGUCCCCCAAGCUCCGCACCUCCCUGAGGGCACCGCGCUGUCCCUGCCAGAAAGAUCCUUGGCGCACACACCACAGAAUGACUCGAGCGGGGGCUCGUGGGUUCCUUGGCGCUGUGCCCUCCUUCCAGGCGACAGCGGUGCUGCUGGACGGGGUUCGAGCCUUGGACUGCUGGUCAGACUUUCAGGUACUCCUCUCUACCUCUCUACUUAUAAACCAACUGCAGGAAAGUGCGUGUCAGGUUGUCAGCCAUAAGCAGGGGACUCUUUCACUGUUAUUUGGUUAAAACAUCUAUCCUCAGUUACAGAUGCUUCUCCUGCCAGUUCGCUGAUAAAAGUUUUUAGCCAUGCAUUGGAAUCACCUCAGGACUCCACUCCCAAUCAAUUAUACAUCUGGGGGAGGACCAAGGCAUCGGUAUUUUUCAGAAGCUCCAUUGGUGAUUCUGACAACACAGCUAGGAUUAAGAAACUGAUCAAUGGGAACGGCAUGCCUGUUAGCAGAGGAGCUUCCCUGGGAAAUGUCACACACAGAAACACCAUCAAUCUUCCUUCCUCACUCCUGAGAGCCCUCAUUCUUUGGCAGCAGGAACAGCUGAAAUUAGUAAACCCUGGUUCCCUGCUCUCUCACAGAUCGCAAGAGUCCAACGUGUGGAUAUGAACUUUCAUUCAUGGGAGGAUCUUCCCCUCAGUGGAAAAGCAACUGGGAAAAGCAGGACACACUGUACAGUGACUGCAGUUUCAUCCAGUGCCACCACCCAUGCAGGCAUAAAUAACGAACAUGGAUGGGGGAGUCUGGAGCGGCUGAAUUGUAAAGACCAUAAAUGUUUAAACUUCUUCCGUUAGUAAUAUUUCUGCUUUUUGUGUAUGUGUGUGUAGAAGUUCUGUCUUUAUAAUUCUCACCACUAUGCAUCAUACUUCCCGGGAGGAAGGAAGAACACAAAAAUUAAAAUUCUCACAAAGGCUACCGUUAAGUUGGAGGAAGACCAAAUCACCGUGUGUCCACAAAGAUACACAGCCAAGCCGGGUUCAGCCAUGCUGGUCAUCUGCUCUAUAUAAUAUGAUUAUUUAGAUCUCUAGAUAGUGGGUAAAAAACAACUACAGAAAAUAAAAUGCUAGAAACUAGAAUGUCAUUUUUACACACUCAUUUGUAGAAUUCCUCCCAGUUUUUCCUCAAGGGAACUUUAAAAUAUUUUCAUUUGAGGAAAGAACUGUUUUGAGUUUACCCUAUAAAAUGGCCACUAAAACUCACCCACUUUC